rnacentral:rRNA from 1 species
AUUGAACGCUGGCGGCAGGCCUAACACAUGCAAGUCGAACGAGUAGCGGACGGGUGGGUAGGUUAGGGGAAACUGCCUGAUGGAGGGGGAUAACGACUGGAAACGGUAGCUAAUACCGCAAACCAUCAGAUGGGACCAGGUGGCAUUAGCUGGUUGGUGGGGUAACGGCUCACCAAGGCGACGAUCCCGAGCUGGUCUGAGAGGAUGACCAGCCACACUGGGACUGAGACACGGCCCAGACUCCUACGGGAGGCAGCAUUGGGGAAUUUUGCACAAUGGGCGCAAGCCUGAUCGAGCCAUGCCGCGUGUAUGAAGAAGGCCUUCGGGUUGUAAAGUACUUUCAGUGGGGAGGCGUUACCCACCCAAAAAGCACCGGCUAACUCCGUGCCAGCCGCCGCGGUAAUAC